rnacentral:rRNA from 1 species
CGAAAGCCUGACGGAGCAAGACCGCGUGGGGGAAGAAGGCUCUUGGGUUGUAAACCCCUUUUCUCUGGGAAGAAAGUUGUGAAAGCAACCUGACGGUACCAGAGGAAUCAGCAUCGGCUAACUCCGUGCCAGCAGCCGCGGUAAGACGGAGGAUGCAAGCGUUAUCCGGAAUGAUUGGGCGUAAAGCGUCCGCAGGUGGCAGUUCAAGUCUGCUGUCAAAGACCGGGGCUUAACUUCGGAAAGGCAGUGGAAACUGAACAGCUAGAGUAUGGUAGGGGCAGAGGGAAUUCCUGGUGUAGCGGUGAAAUGCGUAGAGAUCAGGAAGAACAUCGGUGGCGAAGGCGCUCUGCUGGACCAUAACUGACACUCAUGGACGAAAGCUAGGGGAGCG